rnacentral:rRNA from 1 species
GCUUACGGCCAUACCACUCUGAACACGCCUGAUCUCGUCCGAUCUCGGAAGCUAAGCAGGGUCGGGCCUGGUUAGUACUUGGAUGGGAGACCGCCUGGGAAUACCAGGUGCUGUAAGCU